rnacentral:rRNA from 1 species
AGUGAACGCUGGCGGUAGGCCUAACACAUGCAAGUCGAACGGCAGCACAGUAAGAGCUUGCUCUUACGGGUGGCGAGUGGCGGACGGGUGAGGAAUACAUCGGAAUCUACUUUUUCGUGGGGGUUAACGUAGGGAAACUUACGCUAAUACCGCAUACGACCUACGGGUGAAAGCAGGGGAUCUUCUGACCUUGCGCGAUUGAAUGAGCCGAUGUCGGAUUAGCUAGUUGGCGGGGUAAAGGCCCACCAAGGCGACGAUCCGUAGCUGGUCUGAGAGGAUGGUAAGCCACACUGGAACUGAGACACGGUCCAGACUCCUACGGGAGGCAGCAGUGGGGAAUAUUGGACAAUGGGCGCAAGCCUGAUCCAGCCAUACCGCGUGGGUGAAGAAGGCCUUCGGGUUGUAAAGCCCUUUUGUUGGGAAAGAAAAGCAGCAGGUUAAUACCCCGCUGUUCUGACGGUACCCAAAGAAUAAGCACCGGCUAACUUCGUG